rnacentral:lncRNA from 1 species
UCAAAUUCGUUAUUCCAAAGAUUUAGUGGUUAUCUGUCAGGAACCAAGGACAAAGGGGAGUCAAAUUAUUUGUUAUACAGAGAUGUAAGUAAAAAAGUUGUACACAUCCUUUCUGAAAUCAACUUUAAAAGGAGCUGAUUCUGCAGUAAAGGAAACCCAUUUGCCUUUAUACCACUUGUGGUUUUCUGGCUUCCACCUUCAGUAUUAUGUCUAGAGCUCUAAAAGCCAUCUUGGAUCAUGAGUUAACCUUGAAGACAAAAACUAAAUUCUAAAAAAAGUUUGGGAAACUAUGACCCAUGAACUAAAUCCAGCUCACCAUUGUUUUUGUCUAUAUAGUUUUAUUGGAAUGCACUCAUACCUAUUCCAGUAGGUAUUGCCUAAAGCUACUUUCAUGCCACAAUGGGAAAGUCACUUUUUGUGAAAGAAGCAGAAUUGAUUAGAGGUGAUAGAGGCUGUGUAGCCUGCAAAGCCUGAAAUAUUUCCUGUCUGAUCCCUUAAAAAAAAAUUUUCCUACCCUUGAUCUAGAAUGAUGAAAGAGAAGAGAAUGAGUAUAUGUCCCUAGUAAUUGUGAAGCUUCUGUACCAGCUCUGAACUACUUACCUCCAGGCUUCUUUCAGGAUGUAUGACUGAAGGAAAGAAGGCAAAAGCUGAGCAUCUAUGAUACCCUGAGGAAAGACCUGCAGAGGUGACCACAGACUGCUGGAGGCCCAGUUGAAUUUGUGUUCAAAAUUAAUGCAGUUUCUAAUUGGAAAAGGAGUCAGAAGAAUGGCAAAUUAUUUUCUAGUGUAUAAAUCACAACUGGCGUAUUACUAUGAAUCAUGAAUUCAUAUUUAUGAAAACGAUAAAGAAAACACUAAUUUAUAUAAUGCUGUUGAUAAAUGAAAAUUAUCAUGGAUAUUGUUUUACACGUCUGAAAGAAUUUCAAAGAAGAUAGAAGAAUGAGGAGAACCCAGAACACUGGGUUAAGUUGAGAAUUGAAACUGAAAAUAUGUGAAUUACGGCUAGACAUCAUGAGAGUGACAUAGUUGACAACAAAAGGCAGAUGCCAGCUUGCUUGUUGUAACUGUGUAUUUCUUUACUGGAGCCAAAGUCUCUCAUUCCCCAAUUUAACGUAAAUCUUAAAUUGAGAGAUGCAGUAUUUUAAUAAAAAC